ACGAACGCUGGCGGCGCGCCUAACACAUACAAGUCGAACGAGCGAGAGAGAGCUUGCUUUCUCGAGCGAGUGGCGAACGGGUGAGUAACGCGUGAGGAACCUGCCUCAAAGAGGGGGACAACAGUUGGAAACGACUGCUAAUACCGCAUAAGCCCACGACCCGGCAUCGGGUAGAGGGAAAAGGAGCAAUCCGCUUUGAGAUGGCCUCGCGUCCGAUUAGCUAGUUGGUGAGGUAACGGCCCACCAAGGCGACGAUCGGUAGCCGGACUGAGAGGUUGAACGGCCACAUUGGGACUGAGACACGGCCCAGACUCCUACGGGAGGCAGCAGUGGGGAAUAUUGCACAAUGGGGGAAACCCUGAUGCAGCGACGCCGCGUGGAGGAAGAAGGUCUUCGGAUUGUAAACUCCUGUUGUUGAGGAAGAUAAUGACGGUACUCAACAAGGAAGUGACGGCUAACUACGUG
rnacentral:rRNA from 1 species